GACGAACGCUGGCGGCGUGCCUAAUACAUGCAAGUAGAACGCACAGUUUAUACCGUAGCUUGCUACACCAUAGACUGUGAGUUGCGAACGGGUGAGUAACGCGUAGGUAACCUGCCUGGUAGCGGGGGAUAACUAUUGGAAACGAUAGCUAAUACCGCAUAAUAUUAAUUAUUGCAUGAUAAUUAAUUGAAAGGUGCAAUUGCACCACUACCAGAUGGACCUGCGUUGUAUUAGCUAGUAGGUGAGGUAACGGCCAACAUAAGCGACGUUACAUAGCCGACCUCAGAGGGUGAGCGGCCACGCUGGGAUGGGGGCACGGCCCAGAAUACUACGAGUGGCACACGUAGGGGAUCUUCGGGAAUGGACGAAAUGCUGACCGAGCAACGCCGCGUGAGUGAAGAAGGUUGUCGGAUCGUAAAGCUCUGGUGUGAGAGAAGAACGGGUAGGAGAGUGGAAAGUUCACAUUGUGACGGUAUCUGACGAGAAAGGGACGGCUAACUACGUG
rnacentral:rRNA from 1 species